AACGAACGCUGGCGGCAUGCCUAACACAUGCAAGUCGAACGAGACCUUCGGGUCUAGUGGCGCACGGGUGCGUAACGCGUGGGAACCUGCCCUUAGGUUCGGUAUAACUCCCCGAAAGGGGUGCUAAUACCGGAUAAUGUAUUAGGACCUAAGAUGUAUCGCCUUUGGAUGGGCCCGCGUUGGAUUAGCUAGUUGGUAGGGUAAAAGCCUAUCGAGGCGACGAUCCAUAGCUGGUCUGAGAGGAUGAUCAGCCACACUGGGACUGAGACACGGCCCAGACUCCUACGGGAGGCAGCAGUGGGGAAUAUUGGACGAUGGGCGAAAGCCUGAUCCAGCAAUGCCGCGUGAGUGAUGAAGGCCUUAGGGUUGUAAAGCUCUUUUACCCGGGAUGAUAAUGACAGUACCGGGAGAAUAAGCGCCGGCUAACUCCGUG
rnacentral:rRNA from 1 species